rnacentral:rRNA from 1 species
GGAUUAGAUACCCUGGUAGUCCACGCCGUAAACGAUGUCAACUAGCCGUCUGUAUCCUAGAGAUGUGGGUGGCGUAGCUAACGCGCUAAGUUGACCGCCUGGGGAGUACGGCCGCAAGGUUAAAACUCAAAUGAAUUGACGGGGGCCCGCACAAGCGGUGGAGCAUGUGGUUUAAUUCGAUGCAACGCGAAGAACCUUACCAUCCCUUGACAUCCUGCGAAUUUUCUAGAGAUAGAUUAGUGCCUUCGGGAGCGCAGUGACAGGUGCUGCAUGGCUGUCGUCAGCUCGUGCUG